UACGUAGGGGGCUAGCGUUGUCCGGAAUCAUUGGGCGUAAAGCGUGCGCAGGCGGUUCGUUGUGUCGGUGGUGAAAUCCCCGGGCUUAACCUGGGAAUGGCCAUGGAAACUGGCGAACUGGAGUGCGGCAGAGGGGGGUGGAAUUCCGCGUGUAGCAGUGAAAUGCGUAGAGAUGCGGAGGAACACCGAUGGCGAAGGCAGCCCCCUGGGCUAGCACUGACGCUCAGGCACGAAAGCGUGGGGAGCAAACAGG
rnacentral:rRNA from 1 species